CUCUCAGUACGGAAAAGUGAACCGCCUGAGGCUGGCAA
rnacentral:SRP_RNA from 1 species